GAGUUUGAUCCUGGCUCAGAACGAACGCUGGCGGCAUGCCUAACACAUGCAAGUCGAACGAUCCCUUCGGGGAUAGUGGCGCACGGGUGCGUAACGCGUGGGAACCUGCCCUUAGGUUCGGAAUAACUCCCCGAAAGGGGUGCUAAUACCGGAUAAUGUCUUCGGACCAAAGAUUUAUCGCCUUUGGAUGGGCCCGCGUUGGAUUAGCUAGUUGGUGGGGUAAAGGCCUACCAAGGCGACGAUCCAUAGCUGGUCUUAGAGGAUGAUCAGCCACACUGGGACUGAGACACGGCCCAGACUCCUACGGGAGGCAGCAGUGGGGAAUAUUGGACAAUGGGCGAAAGCCUGAUCCAGCAAUGCCGCGUGAGUGAUGAAGGCCCUAGGGUUGUAAAGCUCUUUUACCCGGGAUGAUAAUGACAGUACCGGGAGAAUAAGCUCCGGCU
rnacentral:rRNA from 1 species